AACGAACGCUGGCGGCAUGCCUAACACAUGCAAGUCGAACGAGACCUUCGGGUCUAGUGGCGCACGGGUGUGUAACGCGUGGGAACCUGAACUUAGGUUCGGAAUAACUCUCCGAAAGGGGUGCUAAUACCGGAUAAUGUCUUCGGACCAAGGAUUUUUUGCCUUUGGAUGGGCCGGCGUUGGAUUAGCUGGUUGGUAGGGUAAAAGCCUACUAAGGCGUCGAUCCAUAGCUGGGCACAGAGGCUGGUCAGCGACACUUGGACUGAGACACGGCCCGGACUCCUACGGGAGGCAGCAGUGGGGAAUAUUGGACAGUGGGCGAAAGCCUGAUCCAGCAAUGCCGGGUAAGUGAUGAAGGCCUGAGAGUAGUAAAGCGCUUUUACCCGGGAUGAUAAUGACAGUACCGAAAGAAUAAGCUCCGGCUAACUCCGUG
rnacentral:rRNA from 1 species